GGUUUUAUUAUUUGUGGAACAAUUGGAGCAUGUCUUACUCUAGCGGGUAUAAUUGUUGUUGCGAUUUAGAGAACAACUGAUGUAUGCUGUAUUUGAACUGACCAAGAACGUCAAUGAUGGCAACCAUGAUCUCUGUGGAAGCCGAGACUGAAUAUUCCAGAUGAAUAAUUUUUUUGAAUACAGUGGCCUUAUUAGGUAAAAAAAAAUUGUGUUGCCCAUCAGACCAAAAAUUUUGAAUGUUUAGGGUUACUUU